GACGAACGCUGGCGGCGUGCUUAACACAUGCAAGUCGAACGGAAAGGCCCUGCGUUUGUGGGGUGCUCGAUUGGCGAACGGGUGAGUAACACGUGUGUAACCUGCCCUUGACUGUGGGAUAACUUCAGGAAACUGGGGCGAAUACCGGAUAGGAGCUCCUGCUGCAUGGUGGGGGUUGGAAAGUUUCGGCUGUUGGGGAUGGACUCGCGGCUUAUCAGCUUGUUGGUGGGGUAGUGGCUUACCAAGGCUUUGACGGGUAGCCGGCCUGAGAGGGUGACCGGCCACCUUGGGCCUGCGAUACGGCCCAGACUGCUACGGGAGGCAGCAGUCGGGAAUAUUGCAGAAUGGGCGGAAGCCAGAUGCAGCAACGCCGCGUGCGGGAUGCCGGCUUUCGGGUUGUAAACCGCUUUCGCCUGUGACGAAGCGUGAGUGACGGUAAUGGGUAAAGAAGCACCGGCUAACUACGUG
rnacentral:rRNA from 1 species